UACAGAGACUGCAAGCGUUAUUCGGAUUCACUGGGCGUAAAGGGUGCGCAGGCGGCCAAGUGUGUUAGGCGUGAAAGCCCGAGGCUUAACCUCGGGUCUGCAGUCGAUACGGGCAAACUAGAGUAUUGCAGGGGAGACUGGAAUUCCUGGUGUAGCGGUGAAAUGCGCAGAUAUCAGGAGGAACACCGGUGGCGAAGGCGGGUCUCUGGGCAAUAACUGACGCUGAGGAGCGAAAGCGUGGGGAGCGAACAGG
rnacentral:rRNA from 1 species